CACCUGGUGGCUCAGUGGUUGAGCAUCUGACUUUAGCUCAGGUCAUGCCCCCGGGUGC
rnacentral:tRNA from 1 species